UGCGUAGGCGGAAAAUUAAGUCAGUGAUGAAAUCCUGCAGCUUAACUGUAGAACUGUUAUUGAUACUGAUUUUCUUGAAUAUAGUUGAGGUAGGCGGAAUGUGUAAUGUAGCGGUGAAAUGCUUAGAUAUUACACAGAACACCGAUUGCGAAGGCAGCUUACUAAGCUAUUAUUGCCGCUGAGGCACGAAAGCGUGGGGAGCGAACAGGAUUAGAUACCCUGGUAGUCC
rnacentral:rRNA from 1 species